rnacentral:rRNA from 1 species
UGAGGAAUAUUGGUCAAUGGACGAGAGUCUGAACCAGCCAAAUCGCGUGAAGGAAGACUGCCCUACGGGUUGUAAACUUCUUUUGUACAGGAAUAAAAGACAUUACGUGUAAUGUAUUGCAUGUACUGUACGAAUAAGCAUCGGCUAACUCCGUGCCAGCAGCCGCGGUAAUACGGAGGAUGCGAGCGUUAUCCGGAUUGAUUGGGUUUAAAGGGUGCGCAGGCGGGAUUUUAAGUCAGCGGUGAAAUUUUCAGGCUCAACCUGAACACUGCCGUUGAAACUGGGAGUCUUGAGUAUGGAUGAAGUAGGCGGAAUUCGUUGUGUAGCGGUGACAUGCUUAGAUAUAACGAGGAACUCCGAUUGCGUAGGCAGCUUACUAAGCCAUAACUGACGCUCAAGCACGAAAGCGUGGGGAUCAAACA